CCUACGGGUGACAGCAGUCGAGAAUCAUUCACAAUGGGGGAAACCCUGAUGGUGCGACGCCGCGUGGGGGAAUGAAGGUCUUCGGAUUGUAAACCCCUGUCAUGUGGGAGCAAAUGAAAAAGAUAGUACCACAAGAGGAAGAGACGGAUAACUCAGUGCCAGCAGCCGCGGUAAUGCGGAGGUCUCAAGCGUUGUUCGGAAUCACUGGGCGUAAAGGGUGCGUAGGCUGUUUCGUAAGUCGUGUGUGAAAGGCGCGGGCUCAACCCGCGGACGGCAGAUGAAACUGCGAGACUAGGGUAAUGGAGGGGCAAGCGGAAUUCCCGGUGUAGCAGUGAAAUGCGUAGAUAUCGAGAGGAACACUCGCGGCGAAGGCGGGUUCCUGGACAUUAACUGACGCUGAGGCACGAAAGCCAGGGGAGCGAAAGGGAUUAGAUACCCUAGUAGUC
rnacentral:rRNA from 1 species